rnacentral:tRNA from 25 species
GCCGGGAUAGCUCAGUUGG